GCCAGGUGUGUUAGCCCAUGCCUGUAAUCCCAGCUACUCAGGAGGCUGAGGCAGGAGGAGAGCAGGGUCAAGGUCAGCCUGAGCAACUUAGCAAGACCCUGUCUCAA
rnacentral:sRNA from 1 species